GGAGGAAAGUAGAGUAACACGUAUGAUUCUAUCCUUGGAUGGGUGACAACCGUGGGGAACUACAACUAAUACCGCAUGAUGCCUGAGGGCCCUAGGUUUGAUCGCAAGAUUGCUCCGUCUGGGGAGGAGCCCGCGUCCGAUUAUGUAGUUGGUGGGGUAAAGGCCUACCAAGCCUGUGAUCCUUAGCUGGUCUGAGAGGAUGAUCUGCCACAUUGGGACUGAAACACGGCCCAAACUCCUACGGGAGGCAUCAGUGGUUUAUUUUGGACAAUGGGCCCAAGCCUGAUCCACCCAUGCCGCGUGAGUGAAUAAGGGUCUCGGAUUGUUAGCUCUUUUGGCGGGUACGAUGAUGACGGUACCCGCAGAAUAAGCCCCGGCUUACUUCCUGCCAGCAGCCGCGGUAAUACUAAGGGGGCUAGCGCUGCUCAUUUUGACUGGGCGUAUAGGGCGCGUAUGAGGCUUGUACAGUUUGGCGUGAAAUUCCUGGGCUCUCCUGGGGACUGCCUCUGAUACGUGCGGGCUUGAUAGGGAAGAGGGUCGUGAAAUUUCCCGUGUAGAGGUGAAUUCUUUAUAUUGGAAAGAAUCCGUGGCCAACGCGGCGACCUGCUCCUUUUCUGACUCUGAGGUGCGAAAGCGUGUGGAGCUAACUGAAUUUAUACCCUGCCAGUCCACGCUGUAACUAUGUGCGCUGGAUGUUGGGGGAGCAUAGCUUCUAAUCGUCGCGUUUAACGAGUUAAGCGCACCGUCUGGGGAAUACGGCCAAUAGGUUGAAACUCAUAGUAUUUGACGGGGGCCCGCAC
rnacentral:rRNA from 1 species